rnacentral:rRNA from 1 species
CUGCGCGGAAGAUGUAACGGGGCUAAACCAUGCACCGAAGCUGCGGCAGCGAACGUAUCACUUAAAGCGAUUCAGCGGGUUACGAUUGACGGAGCGAAGCGACGUCAAAGCGUAUACAAAGUCGAGUCGGUUUAAGGAUACGUUCGUUGGGUAGGGGAGCGUUCUGUAAGCCUGUGAAGGUGUGUCGUGAGGCAUGCUGGAGGUAUCAGAAGUGCGAAUGCUGACAUAAGUAACGAUAAAGCGGGU